rnacentral:rRNA from 1 species
GGUUAUUAGAUAGAAUUAAUAAUCUUACCUGCUCUAUGCUAAUGUAAAUGGCUGCAGUAUAUUGACUGUACUAAGGUAGCAUAAUCAAUAGUCUUUUAAUUGAAGGCUGGAAUGAAAGGUUAAAACUAUGAAGAAGGUUUUGUUAAUUGAUUUUGAAUUUAAAUUAAAAGUAAAAAUGCUUUUAUGAACCCUUGGGACGAGAAGACCCUAGAAGCUUUAUGCAUAAGUAUUUCAGUUGGGGUGACUAGUGAAGAUAAAGAUCUUUAAGUUUGGAAUGUAAUUUAUUUAAGUUACUCUAGGGAUAACAGCGUUAUUUAAUUUAUGAGUUCUUAUUUAAAGUUAAGUUUGCGACCUCGAUGUUGAAUUAAAUGGAAAUAAGGUGUAGGAGCUUUAUGUUGUAGUCUGUUCGACUAUUAGAUUUUUACA